rnacentral:lncRNA from 1 species
UACAUAAACAACUUGCUCUUUUCAGGUGACAUCCCAGUCACAAAACCUGCUGAAACAUUGGUGUCUGAGGUCCAGGAGGUUAGCAGUCCUGUACAAACCACUGUAAAUGCACAUUCAGGUCAUUAUGAUCAUCCACACAUCCCGAUACAGAACUCAAACUCAUUCAGUGAUGCUGAUAAAACUGCUGAAGUGGACAAGAUCAACAUCAUCGUGAAAUGUGCUGGGAAAACCACGGAAGUGGACAUGUUUCCCAGGGAAAGCAUCUCAGUUUUACUAAAGGAGGCCUGUGACCGGGCAGGGAAGAAACCAGAGAAAAUGAAACUGGUUUAUUAAGGUAAACAAAGCAUUCAUUCAUUCUAGAGGUCGACCGAUAUAUCGGUCGGCCGAUAUAUCGGGACGAUAUUAAUAUCCGUGUUUAGUAGCGCCAAUUUAAAUUCAGGCACGUCGGCGGGCAGCCCUGUGUUAUUGGUGCGGUGGAAAGUGCUGCUGCCGCAUGUGAAGGACCCCAAGCCAAAACUUUUGGAAGAUUCAACAACAGUCCUGGGAGAUAAAGGUAGUCAGAGAAUUUCACUCUGUAAAUGAGGUGGAGUAGGUGGCAGUUCUCACAAACACUGCAGCGUGAUUGAGGGCUCCGUUACUCCGCCCCGCUCACAGACAGCACCGUGCUUGGAGAGACAGCUGUCCUGGAGCAGCACAGAACGGUGAAUGACAUUUGUUCGGAAGCAUGGUUUGAUGCAGACAAUAGCCAGGUUUCCAUCCAACUCAUUUGCAUUUAGGGAUGUCAAUAUUUGAUCAUUUCCAUGAUCGAUCAUCGUUAAAUUAACAAUCAAUGAAUAAGCUUAAUGCUGCAAAAUGCGUCUGCAGCGGUAUUAUUAUGUGCAAAAGCCACUCGGAAAAAAAGCUUUCUCACCCGAAUUAAAGGGGUUUAGUCUGAAUAAAAUGCUAGUAGCAGGACUGUAAAAUGAAUAGAUGUGAUUAUGAUGAUUUGAUAAAAUGAAGGAAGCGCGCUGUACGUUUCAGAUCUUUUUACUUAGUUGAAUGUUUUCCGUCAAGGUGACCGCUGAAUGCGCCUCUUUAAAUGGUUUCGUGGUGCUCGUUGUUGUAUUUUAAAACGCAAUUGCAAUGUUUUCAAAUGACACUAUAGUAUUAAAAAUAAAAUUAUCCCAAAUGUAACUGUGGCGCAUGUGGCUGUGCUGCGCAGUCAGUGAACCGCUUUUUUCACAUUAAACCUUUUAUGCGAGUAUGACCAGUACUUUAUUUGAUCCUGUUCUGCAAACGUCGAUUUUGAAUUUUUGCAUUCCGGUAGGCCUAUUUGUUUUAAAAAAUACGGCAUUUACAGUGCAUUAGAUCGUGACAGUGCAUGCGUGCGUGCAGACGAGGACGAGCGAGCGCGGGUUUGGCUAGAUGUAUUUGGAGGUUGUUGCUCACGUCUCGUUCUGCACAUAUCCAAAUGUUUCC